CCGGUGGGAGCUUUCCCUUUUUGAGUCUUUGGCUCCAUUGAGAUAAGAAGAUUAGCAAAAGAACACAACCCAGGAGGACAGAAGUGGCAGCUGGCUAUUAACCAAUUGCUGUCCUGCAUUCUACCUCUGUAGAUGAAUAUGUAAACAAGAACUGUCUGUCCUUCAAAAGUAACACUCAGAUCCUGCUGACAUCUCUUUUGAAGUUGCCAUGAAUUUCUGGGCAAGUUUGAAUUUCUUUACAACUUAACUGGGUAUCUAAUCCAACAUGGUUAUUAUUUAAUUCCUUCUAAUUGGCUUCACACAGAUGGAAGAUGCAUGAUGCAAGGACAAAAAAAGCAUAACGUGGAUUCUGAAGGGAGCUUUGAAUGAACCUUCUGAUCAGCAUUAUCAUUCUUGUUGGAAUGACACAAAUUGAUAAAUAGUGUGUACCACUGCCUUCUCAGAAUUCUUCCCUUUGCCUGUGUCAGUUUCCACACUUAUAAAAUGCCAACAAUAGCAUCUGUUAUUGGGGAGAUGAGAUGAUAUUUGUAAAGCACAUCCAAGCAUUACAUAAAUAUUAUUAUAAUUUUUUUAUUCAUUCCUCAAUGUCUCACUGGAAUGAUUUACAUGAACUGAUUUGAAAUGAAACGAUAAGAACAAGUGAAAUAUAUGACACAAUAAUGGCAAUAUUCUACAAUGAUCAAUUGUAAUUGACUUAACAUUUCUUAGCAAUACAAUGAUCCAACAUAAUUCUAAAAAACUCACGAUGAAAAAUAUCAUCCACUUCCAGAAAAAGAAGUGAUGGACUAUAUUUGAUUUUUUCAUUUAUUUACUUUAUUUUAAACAGAUGGAAAAUAAGAAAAGAAGAACAAAGCAUUGCCAUGUGCAUAAUAGAACAUAAGAGAUAAUUUCAAAUGUAAACCAAUAAAUUUUCAUGUAAAGAAAAACUUUACAAUAAAUACUACAAAUCCUGUUCAGAACUAGUCAUCUUUGCUUCCUUAUAGAUUUUCUUUUAUUCUCUGCUGUACAUUUUAAAAUUCAUUUUUCCUCUUCCUACCUCCCCAAUCUGGAAGCCUAUAUGUAUGUGUGUAUGCAUAUGUAUAUGUUCCUGCACAUAUACAUA